CCUACGGAUGGCAGCAGUAGGGGAUAUUCCACAAUGGACGAAACCCUGAUGCAGCGACGCCGCGUGGGCGAAGAAGUAUUUCGGUAUGUAAAGCUCUAUCAGCAGGGCAGAAGAAAUGCCGGUACCUGAGUAAGAAGCACCGGCUAAAUACGUGACAGCAGCCGCGGUAAUAAGUAUGGUGCAAGCGUUAUACGGCUUUACUGGGUGUAAAGGGAGCGCAGGCGGCACGGCAAGUCUGAUGUGAAAGCCCGCGGCCCAACCGCGGGAGGGCAUUGGAAACUACCGGGCUGGAGUGCAGGAGAGGUAGGCGGAAUUCCUAGUGUAGCGGUGAAAUGCGUAGAUAUUAGGAGGAACACCAGUGGCGAAGGCGGCCUACUGGACGGUGACUGACGCUGAGGCUCGAAAGCGUGGGGAGCAAACAGGAUUAGAUACCCCAGUAGUC
rnacentral:rRNA from 1 species